CCGAAAGGCAGGAGUGCCCGCAAGGGAGCGCGGAGACAGGUGGUGCAUGGCUGUCGUCAGCUCGUGUCGUGAGAUGUUGGGUUAAGUCCCGCAACGAGCGCAACCCUCACCCCUUGUUGCCACCAGGUGAUGCUGGGCACUCUAGGGGAACUGCCCCGGUCAACGGGGAGGAAGGCGGGGAUGACGUCAAGUCCGCAUGGCCUUUAUGUCCAGGGCCACACACGUGCUACAAUGGGCGGUACAAACCGUUGCGAUCCCGCGAGGGGGAGCUAAUCGGAGAAAGCCGCUCUCAGUUCGGAUUGCAGGCUGCAACUCGCCUGCAUGAAGUUGGAAUCGCUAGUAAUCGCGGAUCAGCACGCUGCGGUGAAUACGUUCCCGGGCCUUGUACACACCGCCCGUCACAUCACGAAAGCUGG
rnacentral:rRNA from 1 species